rnacentral:rRNA from 1 species
GACGUAGGGCGCGAGCGUUGUCCGGAUUUAUUGGGCGUAAAGAGCUCGUAGGCGGUGUGUCGCGUCGGCCGUGAAAACCUGUGGCUUAACUAUGGGCUUGCGGUCGAUACGGGCAUCACUGGAGUUCGGCAGGGGAGACUGGAAUUCCUGGUGUAGCGGUGAAAUGCGCAGAUAUCAGGAGGAACACCGGUGGCGAAGGCGGGUCUCUGGGCCGAUACUGACGCUGAGGAGCGAAAGCGUGGGGAGCGAACAGG